GAUGAACGCUAGCGGCAGGCUUAAUACAUGCAAGUCGAGGGGCAGCAUGAUUGUAGCAAUACAAUUGAUGGCGACCGGCAAACGGGUGCGGAACACGUACACAACCUUCCAACAAGUGGGGGAUAGCCCAGAGAAAUUUGGAUUAAUACCCCGUAACAUAGCGAUGUGGCAUCACAUUGCUAUUAUAGAUUUUUCGCUUGUUGAUGGGUGUGCGGCUGAUUAGAUAGUUGGCGGGGUAACGGCCCACCAAGUCUAUGAUCAGUAGCUGAUGUGAGGGCAUGAUCAGCCACACGGGAACUGAGAAACGGGCCCGACUCCUACGGGAGGCAGCAGUAAGGAAUAUUGGACAAUGGACGCAAGUCUGAUCCAGCCAUGCCGCGUGAAGGAUUAAGGUCCUCUGGAUUGUAAACUUCUUUUAUAAGGGACGAAAAAAGGCUUUUCUAAGUCGUCUGACGGUACCUUAUGAAUAAGCACCGGCUAACUCCGUGCCAGCCGCCGCAGUAAAAC
rnacentral:rRNA from 1 species